GUGAGGAAUUUUCCGCAAUGGGCGAAAGCCUGACGGAGCAAUGCCGCGUGAAGGAUGAAGGCCUAUGGGUUGUAAACUUUUUUUCUCAGAAAAGAAUUAUGACGGUAUCUGAGGAAUAAGCAUCGGCUAACUCUGUGCCAGCAGCCGCGGUAAGACAGAGGAUGCAAGCGUUAUCCGGAAUGAUUGGGCGUAAAGCGUCUGUAGGUUGUUUAAAAAGUAUUCUGUCAAAGAUUAGGGCUUAACCCUAGAUAGGCAGAAUAAACUUUUAAGCUAGAGUUUGGUAGAGGCAGAGGGAAUUCCCGGUGGAGCGGUGAAAUGCGUAGAUAUCGGGAGGAACACCAAAGGCGAAGGCACUCUGCUGGGCCAAUACUAACACUGAGAGACGAAAGCGAGGGGAGCAAAUGGGAUUAGAUACCCUAGUAGUCC
rnacentral:rRNA from 1 species